rnacentral:rRNA from 1 species
UACGGGGGGGGCAAGCGUUGUUCGGAAUUACUGGGCGUAAAGGGCUCGUAGGUGGCCAACUAAGUCGGACGUGAAAUCCCUCGGCUUAACCGGGGAACUGCGUCUGAUACUGGAUGGCUUGAGAUUGGGAGAGGGAUGCGGAAUUCCAGGUGUAGCGGUGAAAUGCGUAGAUAUCUGGAGGAACACCGGUGGCGAAGGCGGCAUCCUGGACCAACACUGACGCUGAGGAGCGAAAGCCAGGGGAGCAAACGGG